rnacentral:rRNA from 1 species
CCUACGGGUGGCAGCAGUGAGGAAUAUUGGUCAAUGGACGAGAGUCUGAACCAGCCAAGUAGCGUGAAGGAUGACUGCCCUAUGGGUUGUAAACUUCUUUUAUAAAGGAAUAAAACGAGGUAUGCAUGCCCUUUUGCAUGUACUUUAUGAAUAAGGAUCGGCUAACUCCGUGCCAGCAGCCGCGGUAAUACGGAGGAUCCGAGCGUUAUCCGGAUUUAUUGGGUUUAAAGGGAGCGUAGGUGGAUUGUUAAGUCAGUUGUGAAAGUUUGCGGCUCAACCGUAAAAUUGCAAUUGAUACUGGCAGUCUUGAGUACAGUAGAGGUAGGCGGAAUUCGUGGUGUAGCGGUGAAAUGCUUAGAUAUCACGAAGAACCCCGAUUGCGAAGGCAGCUUACUGGACUGCAACUGACAUUGAUGCUCGAAAGUGUGGGUAUCAAACAGGAUUAGAUAUCCGGGUAGUC